rnacentral:lncRNA from 1 species
CUAAAUUCAUUGGAUGGGUUGGCGGCUAAAAGUUUUUUGGUCCAGUAGCCCAGACGGGAUCAAGACCUAACCAAGCCAAUACGACGACAGGUAAAACCCGAACUGUGUGCACUAGUAAACCUGUCCCAAGUAUUGAAAAUGAAUAUCCGGAUAAGCCCGGGCAAGGAUUCAGGCACAGUACAAAAAACCCGGAACCCAAAUUCGUUCCCUUUUUUUUUAAUUAGUUAAAAAAAUAAUAUAAAAUUACAAACCCAAAAUCCAAAAUAAACUCUAAAUUCGUAAUACAUACCGAAACAAGCACCCUACUUCAGUGCAGACGCUGUUGCAGCUCUGACGCUCCAAGCCAGUAGCCACGACGGCACACCUCCACAAACCUCUCUCUGUGCGUCGGCAACAUCUCUUCUCAUUUCUUAGCUGCUGGCCUUGGCGUGCGACUUCUCUCUAUUCUCCAUCAUCAAUUCGUCACUGUCACAACUCACCUUCUUAGCCUACAGCCGCGUUCGUGCAGCCGACUCUGCUACCAUUACAGCCACAGUCUCUAUCAUCACCCUCUCAGCUGCCAUUGCUCCACCAUCACAACCACGAGGUAUUGACUUUUUUCCAGCUUUUCAAAAAAAAUGAUGAAAUUAUUAUUAUUAUUAUUCUUAGGUGUUAUGCUUUAUGUUUUUCUUGGAUGCUAUGCUUAGAUGAUUAUUUUUUAUAAUAAUAAACAUAUGUAAUAGGAGCUGAAUUAGGC